GACAGAGGGUGCUAGCGUUGUUCGGAAUUACUGGGCGUAAAGGGCGCGUAGGCGGCUUGUUUAGUCGGGUGUGAAAUCCCGGGGCUCAACCCCGGAACUGCAUUCGAUACUGGCAGGCUAGAGACCGGAAGAGGUGGGUGGAAUACCCAGUGUAGAGGUGAAAUUCGUAGAUAUUGGGUGGAACACCGGUGGCGAAGGCGGCUCACUGGUCCGAUACUGACACUGAGGCACGAAAGCGUGGGGAGCAAACAGG
rnacentral:rRNA from 1 species